CCUACGGGAGGCAGCAGUGAGGAAUAUUGGACAAUGGGCGCAAGCCUGAUCCAGCCAUGCCGCGUGCAGGAAGAAGCAUCUAUGGUGUGUAAACUGCUUUUGUACAGGAAGAAACACUCCCUCGUGAGGGAGCUUGACGGUACUGUAAGAAUAAGGACCGGCUAACUCCGUGCCAGCAGCCGCGGUAAUACGGAGGGUCCGAGCGUUAUCCGGAAUCAUUGGGUUUAAAGGGUCCGUAGGCGGUUUAAUAAGUCAGUGGUGAAAUCUGGUCGCUCAACGAUCAAACGGCCAUUGAUACUGUUAGACUUGAAUUAUAAGGAAGUAACUAGAAUAUGUAGUGUAGCGGUGAAAUGCUUAGAUAUUACAUGGAAUACCAAUUGCGAAGGCAGGUUACUACUUAUGGAUUGACGCUGAUGGACGAAAGCGUGGGGAGCGAACAGGAUUAGAUACCCUGGUAGUCCACGCCGUAAACGAUGGAUACUAGCUGUUCGGAGCAAUCUGAGUGGCUAAGCGAAAGUGAUAAGUAUCCCACCUGGGGAGUACGUUCGCAAGAAUGAAACUCAAAAGAGUAGUAGACGUGAGAGUAGCGACGAGGACACCAGGGAGGGUUAGG
rnacentral:rRNA from 1 species